GUUUUGAUUGAUCAGCGCGAAUGAACGAACCGAUUGAUAAUAUCGUGUCAUUGGUAAUAUUGUGUCACAGGUCAUUCUGUGUCAUUGGUAACAUUGUGUUAUUAUUCACAUCGCGUCAUUGAUAAGAUCACCUCUUUGGUCAUAUCGUGUCACUGGUCACUAAGCGUCAAUGACCAUAUCGUGUCAUUGACCAUAUUGCGUCAUUGGUCAUAUUGUGUGUAACGGUUCUUCGCUUCAGGUUCGAAACAAACUUCAAAAGUACACAAAAUAAAUAAUUACUUAAUUCCUAAAGCUAACGCUAAUUACUAUUUACAUUAUUAUACAAAUAAAAAAAUAUUAAUAUGAACUAAAACUAAUUAAAUAUUAAUUCAUAAGCAAACUCGGGAGGCACCGUAUGUUUAGCAGUUCACGCCGUGAUCGCGUGGAGGGAUCGAUAGGCGGCGCGCGCUGUGGAAUUUUACCUGUGCCAGAGCUAACUGGACGACGUUGAGGUCGGACGUGCCGCGUUACCUAAAUAUUCUUUCCUUCUACCUGCGACUAUUAUAUUGAGUCGAGAUUAUUUAAUUUAAUAUAUUAUAAUUUUAUAGAUAAUUAUAUCUAUCUAGUACUUGCGCGGCUGUUAAAGUUUAUAACAAUUGAGUGUAUCGUUUUCACCCCGAAUCGGGGUUCACCGCUCCGGUACCGGACUUCGCUGGUACUAAUUGGACUACCCUGCAACCUACUUUCUAUCUGCGCUACGACGACCACCGGACUACCCUAGUGGCCGACCACGCAUUCGCCGAUCUAUCAGGGCAGUGGUAUUGAUUGCUGGACUUUUCACGUGUUGGUCUUAGUGAAUAUUGAAGAACCCACUGUCUCCCUUGAUCUUAGAUUCUCAUUAUACCUUCUCUUAGCAUUAUAA